UAAGAGAAAUAAAUAUUAAUUUAUUUUGCUUGGGCACUACGAACACAUGUUUAAAACCCAAAGAACUUGGCGGUACUUUAACCCACUUAGGGGAACCUGUCCUUUAAUUCGAUAAUCCACGACAAUCUUAUUUAUUUUAGAACUUUUCAGCUUGUAUACCGUCGUCAUAAGUUAACCUUAAAAAGAAAAAAAGUUAACAAUAAAGAUAAAUUACUUAAAAAUUUCUCACAGGUCAGAUCAAGGUGCAGCUCAUAAAUAAAGAAGGAGAUGGGUUACAGUUAAUAAAUUCUAAUAGAAUCUUCAUAGAAAAAUGAAAAAUAAAAUAGGACUUAAAAGUAAUUAGUGAUAACAAACACUAAUGAAUAAGGAAAUAAAGUGUGU
rnacentral:rRNA from 1 species